CGUGUAGGCGGGCCUGUAAGUCAGAUGUGAAAUGCCGCAGCUUAACUGCGGAGCUGCAUUUGAAACUGCGGGUCUUGAGUGAUGGAGAGGUAAACGGAAUUCCCGGUGUAGCGGUGAAAUGCGUAGAGAUCGGGAGGAACACCAGUGGCGAAGGCGGUUUACUGGACAUUAACUGACGCUGAGGCGCGAAAGCGUGGGGAGCAAACAGGAUUAGAUACCCUGGUAGUCCACGCUGUAAACGAUGGAUACUAGGUGUGGGGGGACUGACCCCUUCCGUGCCGGAGUUAACACAAUAAGUAUCCCACCUGGGGAGUACGGUCGCAAGAUUAAA
rnacentral:rRNA from 1 species